AUCCUUUUCUGGUGCAUAAGCAUGAUGAUUGGGUGUUCACACGUUUGUAUGACAUGUGCCUUCCUUAAACUUUAGAAUGUCAGCACAUUUCACAUCUCACA